UACGUAGGGUGCAAGCGUUAAUCGGAAUUACUGGGCGUAAAGCGUGCGCAGGCGGUUUUGUAAGUCUGUCGUGAAAUCCCCGGGCUCAACCUGGGAAUUGCGAUGGAUACUGGCUCGCUAGAGUGCGGUAGAGGAGAGUGGAAUUCCCGGUGUAGCAGUGAAAUGCGUAGAGAUCGGGAGGAACAUCAGUUGCGAAGGCGGCUCUCUGGACCAGCACUGACACUGAGGCACGAAAGCGUGGGGAGCAAACAGG
rnacentral:rRNA from 1 species